rnacentral:lncRNA from 1 species
UCGUGCAAUAAAAAAAGGGUAAAAUUUAAAAAUAUCACCUCUAUAGUUUCGCACUUUCUCACUUUAAUGCUUUGUGGUUUAAAGUGUAUUAAGUUAGUGUCAUGUGGUUUUGUUUUUAUCUUUUCGUCAAUUUUUUUGUUAAUAUUUUGUUAAAUUAUAUACAAAAAAUUUCAAAUACCCUACAUAAGUUUAUCAAAUAUUCACUUUAAUACUCUUUCAUUUUAACUUUGUCAUUCAUUUAACGAAAAAAAUUAGUGAAAUCGAUAAUAAAAAGAUAAAAAUGAAACCACGGAGCACUAAAUUGAUACAUUUUAAACCACAUAGUACUAAAGUGAGAAAGUGUGAAACCACAAGGGUGGUAUUUGAAAUUUUUUUAUAAAAAAAUGGAGUGAAAAUUUUUCAUAUUAAUAAUUAAAGUAAUGGAGAAANUUCCUUUUGCGAGAGGUUGAGAGUUCUACCGUGUACUAGAGACCACCAUUUUUGUACUACUUAUGACUUCUUUUAUUGUCUAACUUUACUACUUUACCUUGAUAUAGAUGUUAGAACUUUGCUCGCUCUGAUAUCAUUAGCUGCUCAUUAUUUCUCUUCUUCUAUUUGUUUUAUUACUUGCCUUUACUUCCGCUGUUAUUGUAGACGCCUUAUAUGUGUAGACAUAUGGCGGGUCUGGGCACGCUACCGGGAGGGACUCCGCCGGUCCCGGGGCAUGACACAAAUACACAGAAAAUUAAAGAAUGAGUUUAAAAGAAAUUCACAUUUUUUCGAGAAAACAAACGGCCCUUAAACACCAGUUGUUUAAAAAAAAAAAAAUGUUGUGCAGUAAAAAAGGGGUAAACUUUAAAUACCACCUCUAUAGUUUCGCACUUUCUCACUUUAAUGCUCUGUGGUUUAAAGUGUAUUAAGUUAGUAUCAUGUGGUUUUGUUUUUAUCUUUUCGUCAAUUUUUUCGUUAAUAUUUUGUUAAAUUAUAUACAAAAAAUUUCAAAUACUUCCUACAUAAGUUUAACGAAUAUUCACUUUAAUACCCUUUCAUUUUAACUUUGUCACUGAUUUAACGAAAAAAAUUAGUGAAAUCGAUAAUAAAAAGAUAAAAAUAAAACCACAGAACACUAAAUUGAUAUAUUUUAAACCACAUAGUAGUAAAGUGAGAAAAUGUGAAACCACAGGGAUGGUAUUUGAAAUUUUUUCAUAAAAAAAUGGAGUGAAAAUUUUUCAUAUUAAUAAUUAAAGUAAUGGAGAAAUUGGGUGCACCGUCUUCUCCUGUAUUUGCAGUGGACGAAUCAUAUAAUCUCUUUUAUAUUUUACUUUCUUUAUAUUUCGUCAACAUCUGGUAAAUUAAAAAGCAUACAAAUUUAAAAUUUUUAUUGUGUAGUUCAGUACAUCAUUUUGCUAUAACUAUUGUUUUAACUUUUUCUAAGAACAUGAAAUUAGGUGCAUUGUGUCUACCAUGUUUAUUUUGCAUGGUCCAGCUGAUUUUUUUUGUAUCUUUUUUUUUUUUUUAUAUUUUAUGAACUUUUUUUUUUUGAGAAAUAGAUAACACGCUAUCCGCUCUAUUUAUUUCAUUUAGAAAUAAACUUAGCUAGAAAUGCGAAUCAAAUAGGAUUCGAACUUGGGUCUCGAAUACCAACCACCAAGCCUUUUGCCACUUGCUCUAGGAACGAUCGGUUAUAUUUUAUGAACAUUCAAUAAAAAUUAUAAUAUCCGAGGUCAAAAAAUUAAUGUGCAGUUAAUAUAG